UUAAAGAACGAACCGGUGCUAAAGGGUCCUGCCCAACGGCUACUGACAGUUGCUGUCAGAGUAGGAACCCUUUAGCACCGGUUCGUGUUACAAA
rfam:Sorghum bicolor cultivar BTx623 chromosome 7, whole genome shotgun sequence.